rnacentral:lncRNA from 1 species
UUGCAACUAAAUCACGAAAUGUCAGGUUAGGCUUGACUGUGUGAACAAUAGAAAGAGGGUGGAACAUACUGAAAAGGAGAUUAACGCAAAUAAUAGAUAACUGCGUGAGCUGCUUGCAAAGAUAAACUUUCAGGCAUCUCUCAAUUUUCAACCAUCUCUUUCACAACCAUCUACUUUCUAGUCAUAUCAGACUUGUCAGGCACCAAUACCACAGUAUACGCCUUUAAACCAAGGUAGAGAUGAUGAUGAUAUUGAGGAGGAGGAGGAGG